UACGAAGGGGGCUAGCGUUGCUCGGAAUCACUGGGCGUAAAGCGCACGUAGGCGGCUUUUUAAGUCAGGGGUGAAAUCCUGGAGCUCAACUCCAGAACUGCCUUUGAUACUGAGAAGCUUGAGUCCGGGAGAGGUGCGUGGAACUGCGAGUGUAGAGGUGAAAUUCGUAGAUAUUCGCAAGAACACCAGUGGCGAAGGCGGCUCACUGGCCCGGUACUGACGCUGAGGUGCGAAAGCGUGGGGAGCAAACAGG
rnacentral:rRNA from 1 species